CGGCGUGCCUAAUACAUGCAAGUCGAACGCACUCUCGUUUAGAUUGAAGGAGCUUGCUCCUGAUUGAUAAGCAUUUGAGUGAGUGGCGGACGGGUGAGUAACACGUGGGUAACCUGCCCUAAAGUGGGGGAUAACAUUUGGAAACAGAUGCUAAUACCGCAUAAAACCUAGCACCGCAUGGUGCAGGGUUGAAAGAUGGUUUCGGCUAUCACUUUAGGAUGGACCCGCGGUGCAUUAGUUAGUUGGUGAGGUAAAGGCUCACCAAGACCGUGAUGCAUAGCCGACCUGAGAGGGUAAUCGGCCACACUGGGACUGAGACACGGCCCAGACUCCUACGGGAGGCAGCAGUAGGGAAUCUUCCACAAUGGACGAAAGUCUGAUGGAGCAACGCCGCGUGAGUGAAGAAGGUUUUCGGAUCGUAAAACUCUGUUGUUGGAGAAGAAUGUAUCUGAUAGUAACUGAUCAGGUAGUGACGGUAUCCAACCAGAAAGCCACGGCUAACUACGUG
rnacentral:rRNA from 1 species